UCUCCAUCACACUGCCACUGAGCCGGGAUGCAUGUACAUUCCCCAAAAGCACUGACUGCACACGUAAAGUGAUUGCGUCCACAGGAGCAUUCGGUACUACUUGUUAUGCCUCUGGCGCGGAGCAGCGCUCCCAGGAGCAGCAGCAGCAGCCGCGGAGGCGCGGGCGAGAGGCAGCCCCCGCCGCGCCGCCUCAUGGUGGCAGCGCCCCGGCCCCGCGCCCGGACCGCCCGCAACCGCGUCCCGGGCUCCUCCUGCGCGCUGAGCCCCGGUCCCGCGUCCCGGGCGCCGCCGCCCGCCUGCUCGCCGCUGCCCG
rnacentral:lncRNA from 1 species